UAAAAGGAUAUGUUACGCUGCAUGGCGGCUGACUUGGUUCGAAUAUCGAUGAAGGACGUGGCAAGCUGCGAAAAUUCCGGGGUAGGUGCAAGCAGCCUUUGAACCCGGAGUCUCCUAAUAGGACUUCCUAGUCUAAGACUAUUCGCAUUAGCGAAGGUGGACGGCCCGAAUUGAAACAUCUUAGUAGGGCCAGGAAAAGAAAGCAAUCGCGAUUCCCUUAGUAAAGGCGAUCGAAAGGGGAACAGGACAAACCGAAUCCCUUAUUGAAAGAUAAGGGAGAUGUGGGGUUCGGACCCGCGCUCAGCCUAACUUCUCAAGCCGAAGUGAUCUGGAAAGAUUCACGACAAAGGGUGAUAGUCCCGUAGGGGUAAAGAAGAAGGUUGAUAUCGGGUAUCCAGAGUACCGCUGGUUGAAAAUCCAGUGGGAAUGUGGGGGUCACUAACCCCUAAUCCUAAAUAUAAUUCGAGUCCGAUAGCGCACUAGUACGGUGACGGAAAGUCGAAAAGCAUCCUUAACAGGAGCUGAAAAGAGCCUAAAACCAUGCAGUUAUAGGUCGGUAAGGCGCAUGCUUGCAUGUGUUUUGCCGUCCGUUUUGAAACACGCGGCAAGGAGUUUAUUUCCGUGGCGAGGAUAACAAAAGGUAUCCGUAGCGAAAGCGAGUACCCCGCAGCUUGCAAGGGGGUCAGGUGUGAAAGCGCCUGUAGUCACGGGGAUAAGACCUGAAGCCGGUCGAUCUAGCCCUGGGCAGGGUGAAGUCUAGCGAAAGCUGGAUGGAAGCCCGUUACCGUUGCUGAGAUUCAAAUCGCUCAGGUGACCUGGGGCUAGGAGUGAAAAUGGAUUGACGACUAGAAUUAAUCGGGUUAAGUCGUCCUUCCUUCAACGCUAAUCGAGAUCGGCAAUAGCUGGUUCCUCUCUAAAUGUGUCUAAGCACAGCCUGGCUGGAGGUAGAGCAUGGGGUAUAGAUACUGAUUGGGUAACCAAGGGGAGAAAAGCGCUUGGCAACUUGGAAAUAUUUGUUCAGGUUGCCCGUUCUCAUUCUCCAGUUAUCCUGUCAAACUCGGAAUCCAUGUUCGCCGUAGAAGGCCGGAGUGGGGGCGCUGGGGUAAGCUCAGUGUCCGAAAGGGCAAGAACCCAGACUAAAGUUAAGGUCCCUAAAUGUUGUCUAAGUGAAGAAAAGUGUCAUCAACCAUAUACAAUAGGGAGGUUGGCUCAGAAGCAGCCACCCUUUAAACGAGCGAAGGCUUGGAAUUAUCUGAUUAAGCCUUCAUUCGAAAGAAAGAGUGUGUAAUAACUCACCUAUCUAGGUUGUUGGCCUUGAAAAUGGACGGGACUAAGGCAACUACCGAUACUUUAGAUCACGAAAGUGAUAGAGUAGGGAGGUGUUCUGCUGGGGCAGAAGUUCUUCCGUAAGGGGGAAUGGACCCUGCAGAAAUAAGAAUCUUGCUGAAAGUAACAGCACUAGUGGAGUGAGACUCUCCACCACCUAAAGGGCUAGGGUUCCUCAGCAACGAUUAAAAGCUUGACGCUGACAAGUCAGCGUCGGUUUGUCGAAUCAGCUGAGGGUUAGUCGGUCCUAAGGCAUUUCCUAACUGGAGAAUGUCGAAAGGGAAACAGGUUAAUAUUCCUGUACCAUGAGAGUACGUGCGGCGACGCAAGCUCAGGGCCAGACUUUUUGGGAUAGGCUGACCAUUCCGAUGGUUAACACGUUAAGCCUGCGGAGUACCGUAAUGGUGAGAAGCAGGUGAAGCGUGGAAUAGCCCGUGUAUGCGGGUUUGGCCGACUCCUGGAAACCGUGAAAAUGGACCUGGGAAGGAUCUUUCAUGGCCGUACCGAGAACCGUUACUGGUGACCCUUGCUGAAUAGGUUAAGGUGUAUUAGGUUAAAUUACUCUAGGGAAUUCGGCAAAUUGGCCCCGUAUCUUUGGUAUGAGGGGUGCCUAGUCCCUUGGCUAAGCCAAGAAGAUUAGGUCACAGUGACAAGGGGGGUCCGACUGUUUAACAAAUGGGAAGCGCGGACAUCAUGUUUAUAUCUCACAUAGUAUAACAUUAAAUUAUGAUGAAUCCGUACCUGGUCGGACUUCUACUAGGAGAUGGAACAAGUCAUUUCAGAAAACAGAACUAUGCGUAUUCUGUAUGGAUUGACCAGAUAGAAAGAAACCGAAAAAUUGUUGAAAAAGCGAAGAGAGAAUUCGAGAAAAUGGGAUUGAAAGUCCAUUUUUAUUCUCACGGAAUAAAUAAAAUCAGAGCAUUGGUUUAUUCCAAGGAAAUAUACAAUGAAUUUCGUGAGUUGAAGAAGAAUCCAGUUCUUUGCUUUGAAAAAUUGAGCAAAAAAGGAAAAUUUGAAUUCAUUUCUGGUUUUUUCGAUGCGGAAGGCACUGUCACAGACAGAUUGGUUUUGUAUAACGGUGACUUAGAGAUUAUCAACAAAAUCAAAGAAUUCAUAGCCAAAGAAUUGAACGUGGUAGGCAAUGUUUAUAGGUACGGAAAAAUAUAUGGUAUGCAGAUUUACAAACGAGACCAUAUUAAGAAAUUUGUAAAAAAUACUGAUUGCGUAAAAUUUUCCGUUCGUUCUUCCCAGUUAAAAAACAUAGGAGGCUGCUAGUCGGAAACGAUUUGUAUAGCUUCUGAGGCCUGCCCAGUGCCGGUGUGUUAAGCUGGCCUACAAUCCAGUGAAGCCCCGGUAAACGGCGGCGGUAACUCUGACCGUUGACUUAGGCGGUCACAAAAUUUGGCUAUAUGCGGGAACUCCAUAGUAUUUCGGGUCCUGAGUAAGGAAAAAUCCCGGAAACGAUGAUGGAUAAUCCGCAGGAAACUGUUUGCUUCAUGGAGGUGGUUACCAUGAAGAAAAGCGAACAAGAGCUGAGCAAGCUCUUGAGAAAGAAACGUUAUCUGAGAUUUUACAUCUUGGGUUUCGUUGAUGCCGAGGGUUGUUUUAGCGUAUCACUAAAACAGCAGAAAACAACGAGAUUUGGCUGGGUACUUGAUCCAUUGUUCCAGGUAACUCAACACGAAACAAACAGAAUAGUUCUUGAACAGAUAAAAGGAGAAUUGGGUUGCGGAAGAAUAAUCGAAAAACCCGGUCAGAAAGAUACACUGAUAUAUUUGGUUGAUAACCGAAGACAGUUGAACGAAAAGGUAAUUCCGUUCUUUGAAAGAUACAGACUUGUUUCGAAGGAUGGCGAUUUCCAGAAGUUCAAAAAAAUCAUUAAAGGACUUGAAAACAAGGAACAUAGUAAAAUUGAAUCUUUCGUGAAACUGAUAAAAACGGCAUUCGAAAUGAACCUUGAGGGAAAACAGAGAAGAUACAAACUCGAAGAGGUUUUAAAGGAUUUGGAAAGCAAACAGAAUCCCCAGAGGCCAUACGCCAAACACUCAAGUGAGUGAAGAUAUGGUCCGACUCUUACAGUAAUGUAAGUCAGUUCGCUUAAGGUAGCGUAAUCCCUUGCCGAUUAAUUGUCGGCCUGCAUCAAGGGCUUAACGAGAUCCCCGCUGUCCUGGAGUAAUGCCUAGUGAAAUUAAUGUCCAGUGCAUAUUCUGGAGAACUUCAGUGGGACGAGAAGACCCCAUUGAGCUUUACUGCAGUCUGAUGCUGCGGUAUGAUGAUGGUUGCAUAGUGUAGGUGGGAGCGUCGAACCUGCGUCUUUGGGUGCAGGGAAUGCGCCAAUGUAACACCACCCCCCCGUCCUCAUAUCGCUUAUCCUUCGGGAGACACCAUUUGAUGGGCAGUUUGGCUGGGGCGGUACGCCUCUGAUAAGGGAUCAGAGGCGCCCUAAGGUCGGCUCAUUCCGGUCAGAAAUCGGAAUUAGAGUGUAAGAGCAAAAGCCGGCCUGAUAGGAUCCUACAAAGCAAGGGAUCCUAACGCGAAAGCGUGGUCUAGCGAUCCGCUGUGUCUUUAUUAGAUGAAAGCCAGCUCUGACAGAAAAGUUACCAUGGGGAUAAUGGAGUCGUGACGCGUGAGAGUCCAUAGCGCAUGACUGCUUGUUCAGUAUUUACAGGCAGUCCGUGGAUAUAUCGACCGCGUUCGUUGCUUCUCCGCCGUCGGCUCGGCUCUUCCUGGACGUGCAGCAGCGUCCAAGGGUGGGGGUGUUCACCCAUCAAAGAGCCACGUUAGCUGGGUUAAAUACGGUGCGAGCCAGUAUGGUCUAUAUCUACUGAAGUUGUCGGGAACCUGAGGGGAAGAAGCACUCAGUACGAAAGGAACAGUGCGUCGUGGCCUCUGGUCUACCAGUUGUGUAUACAUCGCUGGGUAGCUAUGCCAUUGUGGAUAAGGGCUGAAAGCAUCUAAGCCCGAAGCCACUCCUGAAAAUAGGUCCCCAAUCCUCAAACUGAUUGGCAACAACCGGCGCGAGGGAGAGGAUCCGGUACACGACCGGGUUGAUAGAAUCGGGGUGUAAGCACCAAGGCAACGAGGUGUUCAGCUUACGAUUACUAACGCUCCAAAAAUAUCCUGGUU
rnacentral:rRNA from 1 species